rnacentral:rRNA from 1 species
GAUGAACGCUAGCGGCAGGCCUAACACAUGCAAGUCGAGGGGUAACAUUGUAGCUUGCUACAGAUGACGACCGGCGCACGGGUGCGUAACGCGUAUACAAUCUACCUUGUACUAGGGGAUAGCCUUUAGAAAUGAAGAUUAAUAUCCUAUAAUAUAUUUAGUUCGCAUGGACAUAAUAUUAAAGGUUACGGUACAAGAUGAGUAUGCGUCCUAUUAGCUAGAUGGUGUGGUAACGGCACACCAUGGCUACGAUAGGUAGGGGCCCUGAGAGGGGGAUCCCCCACACUGGUACUGAGACACGGACCAGACUCCUACGGGAGGCAGCAGUGAGGAAUAUUGGACAAUGGAGGCAACUCUGAUCCAGCCAUGCCGCGUGCAGGAAGACUGCCCUAUGGGUUGUAAACUGCUUUUAUACAGGAAGAAACCGCUCUACGUGUAGAGUCUUGACGGUACUGUAAGAAUAAGGAUCGGCUAACUCCG